rnacentral:rRNA from 1 species
UACAGAGGUCUCAAGCGUUGUUCGGAUUCAUUGGGCGUAAAGGGUGCGUAGGUGGCGCGGUAAGUCGGGUGUGAAAUUUCGGAGCUUAACUCCGAAACUGCAUUCGAUACUGCCGUGCUUGAGGACUGGAGAGGAGACUGGAAUUUACGGUGUAGCAGUGAAAUGCGUAGAUAUCGUAAGGAAGACCAGUGGCGAAGGCGGGUCUCUGGACAGUUCCUGACACUGAGGCACGAAGGCCAGGGAGCAAACGGG